rnacentral:rRNA from 1 species
UACAGAGGGUGCAAGCGUUAAUCGGAAUUACUGGGCGUAAAGCGUGCGUAGACGGUUACAUAAGUCAGAUGUGAAAGCCCCGGGCUCAACCUGGGAAUUGCAUUUGAGACUGUGUAGCUAGGGUGCGGAAGAGGGAAGCGGAAUUUCCGGUGUAGCGGUGAAAUGCGUAGAUAUCGGAAGGAACACCAGUGGCGAAAGCGGCUUCCUGGUCCAGCACCGACGUUCAGGCACGAAAGCGUGGGGAGCGAACAGG